rnacentral:rRNA from 1 species
GACGAACGCUGGCGGCGCGCCUAACACAUGCAAGUCGAACGAGCGAGAGAGAGCUUGCUUUCUCGAGCGAGUGGCGAACGGGUGAGUAACGCGUGAGGAACCUACCUCAAAGAGGGGGACAACAGUUGGAAACGACUGCUAAUACCGCAUAAGCCCACAGCUCGGCAUCGAGCAGAGGGAAAAGGAGCAAUCCGCUUUGAGAUGGCCUCGCGUCCGAUUAGCUAGUUGGUGAGGUAAUGGCCCACCAAGGCAACGAUCGGUAGCCGGACUGAGAGGUUGAACGGCCACAUUGGGACUGAGACACGGCCCAGACUCCUACGGGAGGCAGCAGUGGGGAAUAUUGCACAGUGGGGGAAACCCUGAUGCAGCGACGCCGCGUGGAGGAAGAAGGUCUUCGGAUUGUAAACUCCUGUUGUUGAGGAAGAUAAUGACGGUACUCAACAAGGAAGUGACGGCUAACUACGUGCCAGCAGCCGCGGUAAAACGUAGGUCACAAGCGUUGUCCGGAAUUACUGGGUGUAAAGGGAGCGCAGGCGGGAAGACAAGUUGGAAGUGAAAUCUAUGGGCUCAACCCAUAAACUGCUUUCAAAACUGUUUUUCUUGAGUAGUGCAGAGGUAGGCGGAAUUCCCGGUGUAGCGGUGGAAUGCGUAGAUAUCGGGAGGAACACCAGUGGCGAAGGCGGCCUACUGGGCACCAACUGACGCUGAGGCUCGAAAGUGUGGGUAGCAAACAGGAUUAGAUACCCUGGUAGUCCACACCGUAAACGAUGAUUACUAGGUGUUGGAGGAUUGACCCCUUCAGUGCCGCAGUUAACACGAUAAGUAAUCCACCUGGGGAGUACGACCGCAAGGUUGAAACUCAAAGGAAUUGACGGGGGCCCGCACAAGCAGUGGAGUAUGUGGUUUAAUUCGACGCAACGCGAAGAACCUUACCAAGUCUUGACAUCCCUUGACGAACAUAGAAAUAUGUUUUCUCUUCGGAGCAAGGAGACAGGUGGUGCAUGGUUGUCGUCAGCUCGUGUCGUGAGAUGUUGGGUUAAGUCCCGCAACGAGCGCAACCCUUACUGUCAGUUACUACGCAAGAGGACUCUGGCAGGACCGCCGUUGACAAAACGGAGGAAGGUGGGGAUGACGUCAAAUCAUCAUGCCCUUUAUGACUUGGGCUACACACGUACUACAAUGGCGUUAAACAAAGAGAAGCAAGACCGCGAGGUGGAGCAAAACUCAGAAACAACGUCCCAGUUCGGACUGCAGGCUGCAACUCGCCUGCACGAAGUCGGAAUUGCUAGUAAUCGUGGAUCAGCAUGCCACGGUGAAUACGUUCCCGGGCCUU